UUCUCAAUCAACGCCACAGUAGCACCAUGGCUUAGUUACGUAUGGGACUUGUGUGUUGAUUAAUUUUCUACCGUCAAGACAUGUUUGUUUGUCAUCUUGGUAUUGACUCUUUAAUUAUCGAAACUGUUGCAGGUACCACAUCUUUUGAAGAAAACAUAAUCACCCCAGUACUUUGGUGCUUGUGACUUCGAGGUAAGAGAGUCUGACCACAAGAGUACUUUCCUUGGAGAAGAUUCACAUAUCUCUUUGACUUGUUUUACAUUUUGCAGGAAGCAUCCAAGCUUCAUUCCAGUCCGUCAGGUGGCCUUCAGAUGGUCUUAGGAUUGAUUGCAUGAGUUCAAUCCUCGAUGCGUACUGAGGAAGCCUACAAGAAGCUUUGUGAUCGCAGGUGAGCUAAACCGAGCAUUCCGCAAACUUGUGGCUGGAGGUAGGCACCCUUUUAUAGAGAGAUGGCCACUUUACUUUCAGGGGCAGCAUUUUGAUGAUGACUUUGAUGCAGGCAGCGUAACAUCUUGGUUUUGGUGUUGCACAAAGAUUCCUCCAGAGCAGUUCUUCACUUCGUGAGCCCAAAAACUUUGCAGACUCGUAGUUGGUGUGAACUAGCAGUCCAGGCCUUCACUUGACACUCGUUUUUGCCACCCAUAUGCAGGACGCACCGCGAUACAGGCAUAAAAAACAAGUGCAGUGCACCCUCUAGUUUGGACCUUGCUUCCACCACCCAUACGCAGGACGCACCGCAGUAUAGGCAUCGAAAGAAGGCCAAAAACACAGGUGAGCCCCUUCCCUUGCCGAAAUCUCUUCUCCUCUUUCAUCUCUGUGAACGUGCUUCUUUUUUGUCUCCUUGGACCUGCACUGUUUGUUAACACAAAGGCAAAUGGAGGUGUAUUUGGUUGUUUUGUUUUCUGAUUUUGGUGGGCAACAAUGAGGGAUUUGAGGCUUUGUGAUUUGGUGUAUUUGGCUUUGGGGGGUAUGGAGAAUUUGUUUCUGAUGCUGUUUGGAAGGGUUAUAGAGCCACAUAGCAAUAAGCAGAGGAAGGACUUUCUGCACUCAUGGACACAUCAGCAACGAUAAAGGAAAAGUACCAGUAAAGACCAUGGAGAAGUGACCAACAGGAUACCUGAACUUGAUGCUCUCCUGUCGUCGGGUUGUAGUCUCCAGGUAACUAGACACUGCACUAUUUCUUCUCGUUGAACGCUGCUUUACUUUGAUGCAUAUUUUUGACUCACCCUUUUCUCUAUUUC